rnacentral:rRNA from 1 species
AACAUACCUCAUAGUACGGAAUAACUGCGGGAAACUGUAGCUUAUACCGUAUAUUCCAGUAAUGGGAAAGAUUUAUCGCUAUGAGAUUGGCCCGCGCAAGAUUAGCUUGUUGGUGAGGUAAUGGCUCACCAAGGCUCCGAUCUUUAGCUGGUUUGAGAGGACGAUCAGCCACACUGGGACUGAGACACGGCCCAGACUCCUACGGGAGGCAGCAGUAAGGAAUAUUGGACAAUGGGGGAAACCCUGAUCCAGCAAUGCAGCGUGAGCGACGAAGGCCUUAGGGUUGUAAAACUCUUUCAUCGGUGAGGAUAAUGACAGUAGCCGAAGAAGAAGGACCGGCUAAUUCCGUGCCAGCAGCCGCGGUAAUACGGAAUGUCCUAGCGU